GUCCACACCGUAAACGUUGGGCGCUAGGUGUGGGGUCCAUUCCACGGAUUCCGUGCCGCAGCUAACGCAUUAAGCGCCCCGCCUGGGGAGUACGGCCGCAAGGCUAAAACUCAAAGGAAUUGACGGGGGCCCGGCACAAGCGGCGUAGCAUGCGGAUUAAUUCGAUGCAACGCGAAGAACCUUACCUGGGUUUGACAUAUGCCGGAAAGCUCUAGAGAUAGAGCCCCUUUUGUCGGUAUACAGGUGGUGCAUGGCUGUCGU
rnacentral:rRNA from 1 species